rnacentral:rRNA from 1 species
UCAGGCCUAACACAUGCAAGUCGAGCGAGGACUUCGGUCCUAGCGGCGGACGGGUGAGUAACGCGUGGGAACGUGCCCUUUGCUUCGGAAUAGCCCUGGGAAACUGGGAGUAAUACCGGAUGAGCCCUACGGGGGAAAGAUUUAUCGGCGAAGGAUCGGCCCGCGUUGGAUUAGGUAGUUGGUGGGGUAAUGGCCUACCAAGCCGACGAUCCAUAGCUGGUUUGAGAGGAUGAUCAGCCACACUGGGACUGAGACACGGCCCAGACUCCUACGGGAGGCAGCAGUGGGGAAUCUUAGACAGUGGGGGAAACCCUGAUCUAGCCAUGCCGCGUGAGCGAAGAGAGGCCUUAGGGUUGUAAAGCUCUUCAGCUGGGAAGAUAAUGA